GACGGAGGGUGCUAGCGUUGUUCGGAAUCACUGGGCGUAAAGGGCGCGUAGGCGGCCAACUAAGUCCGACGUGAAAUCCCCAGGCUUAACCUGGGAACUGCGUCGGAUACUGGAUGGCUUGAAUCCGGGAGAGGGAUGCGGAAUUCCAGGUGUAGCGGUGGAAAUGCGUAGAUAUCUGGAGGAACACCGGUGGCGAAGGCGGCAUCCUGGACCGGCAUUGACGCUGAUGAGCGAAAGCCAGGGGAGCAAACGGG
rnacentral:rRNA from 1 species